GUAGGGUGCGAGCGUUAAUCGGAAUUACUGGGCGUAAAGCGUGCGCAGGCGGGUUCGCUAAGACCGAUGUGAAAUCCCCGGGGCUUAACCUGGGAACUGCAUUGGUGACUGGCGGGCUAGAGUAUGGCAGAGGGGGGUAGAAUUCCACGUGUAGCAGUGAAAUGCGUAGAGAUGUGGAGGAAUACCGAUGGCGAAGGCAGCCCCCUGGGCCAAUACUGACGCUCAUGCACGAAAGCGUGGGGAGCAAACAGGAUUAGAUACCCUGGUAGUCCACGCCCUAAACGAUGUCAACUAGUUGUCGGGUCUUCAUUGACUUGGUAACGUAGCUAACGCGUGAAGUUGACCGCCUGGGGAGUACGGUCGCAAAGAUUA
rnacentral:rRNA from 1 species